rnacentral:lncRNA from 1 species
AUAAUAAUAAUAAAAAAAAGUUUUUGCAUGAGAACUUACAUUUGUGAAUAUGAAAUUUUGCAUGUGUGAAUAUGAAAUUUUGCAUGUAAAAAAAUUAGGUUUAUCAUGUAAACCUGACUGUUCUUCUUUUUUGCUGUUCUUCAGUAAACCAAAUGUAGCAGGACUCGCACCCAGGGAAUACCACACACCCUCAGGUGCUACUCAAGGAAACACAGAUGUCUUCACUUGAAGGCUGUUCGUACUCUGCUUGCUCAUGGAAUGAAGCUAAGAAUGAAAAAUCGACACUGCUUUAAUGAAUAUUGUAGGAAGUGGUCUUAUAGCUCUUAAAGCCAUCAUAACUCACUGAAUCAUAAGAUUUGGAUUGUGAGAAAACGAGAUCAAUGAAAAAAUACUAAGAAUUAAAAAAGUACACUUUCAUAUCAUCCAACUGUUCUGAUGACUUAAAAAAUACAAAUAAGACACAAUGUUUUUUAAAUAGUUAUUAAAUAUUCCAACAUGAAUAAAAAUCACUACAAGAACAUCACGUGAUGUUUCAGAUGAAUAAUAAGACACAAUGUUUUUUAAAUAGUUAUUAAAUAUUCCAACAUGAAUAAAAAUCACUACAAGAAACAUCACGUGAUGUUUCAGAUGAAUGUUUCAUCACUGAAUAACAAAUAUAUUAUCUUUGCUUGGAGAUGUUGGUUGUACCCCUCUGUGAGCGCUCUCUUCAAUCAAAAGUACAUCUUGAUUUGAUGGUCCUCCUUGUUUCCUAUAUUUGUGGGUUCUUCCUUAAAAGGGUCAUAUGAUGUUGCUAAAAAGAACAUUAUUUUGUGUUUUUGGUGUAAUUAAAUGUGUUUCUGCGGUUUAAGGUUAAAAAAACACAUUAUUUUCCACAUACUGUACAUUAUUGUUUCUCCUCUAUGCCCCGCCUUCUGAAACACAUCAUUUUUUACAAAGCUCAUCAAAAAGCGAGGUGUGCUCUGAUUGGCCAGCUAUCCAGUGCUUUGUGAUUGGCCGAAUAUCUCAAGCGUGUGACGGAAAUGUUACGCCCCUCACUGUGAUGCCGUCUCCUGGCACGAUGAGACAAAACCAAUAAAACCCAUUACAAACGAGGCAUUUGUUGCAUCUAGUGG